GAUCAUGGCUCAGGAUGAACGCUAGCUACAGGCUUAACACAUGCAAGUCGAGGGGCAGCAUUGAGUAGCUUGCUACUCAAGAUGGCGACCGGCGCACGGGUGAGUAACGCGUAUCCAACUUCCCCUUAGUAGCGGAUAGCCCGGCGAAAGUCGGAUUAAUACGCUAUGUUCUUCGUCGAGGACAUCUGAAGUGAAGUAAAGACAUAGUCGCUAAGGGAUGGGGAUGCGUCUGAUUAGGUAGUCGGCGGGGUAACGGCCCACCGAGCCGUCGAUCAGUAGGGGUUCUGAGAGGAAGGUCCCCCACAUUGGUACUGAGACACGGACCAAACUCCUACGGGAGGCAGCAGUGAGGAAUAUUGGUCAAUGGGCGCGAGCCUGAACCAGCCAAGUAGCCGUGCAGGACGACGGCCCUAUGGGUUGUAAACUGCUUUUAUGCGGGGAUAAAGUGACGUACGCGUACGUUUUUGCAGGUACCGCAUGAAUAAGGACCGGCUAAUUCCGUGCCAGCAGCGGC
rnacentral:rRNA from 1 species